UACGUAGGGUGCAAGCGUUAAUCGGAAUUACUGGGCGUAAAGCGUGCGCAGGCGGCGCGUUAAGACAGGUGUGAAAGCCCCGAGCUUAACUUGGGAAUUGCGCUUGUGACUGGCGUGCUGGAGUGUGGCAGAGGGAGGUGGAACUCCACGUGUAGCAGUGAAAUGCGUAGAGAUGUGGAGGAACACCGAUGGCGAAGGCAGCCUCCUGGGCCAGCACUGACGCUCAUGCACGAAAGCGUGGGGAGCAAACAGG
rnacentral:rRNA from 1 species